AGAUGCAGCAAACAGGGAGAACCCCUCAAUAGUGGUACGAAAUGCUGUUAUGGCUGUCAGAGGAACCUUGAGAGAAUUAAGUGACAGCCAUGUUUUCUUUAGCUGCACCGGAUAUUCCAGAACGAGCUGAAGUGGGGCAGACUGUGGGACAGUGUCUUGGAGUUCACACCAGUGACUAAAUCUUCUCCACUUCUAAAGCCACAGCACAGUCUACCAAGCGGUGCCCAUAGAUUUCCUCUCAGCAGAGGCAGAGUCUUAUCUGUGUGUGAGCCCGAGUGAGACUUUCCACAAUCAAAACAUCUACUACUGUCAAACUCCAAAGAAGCUGCCCCAUCGUAAAUGCAAAACCAACUGUGUACAACACUGAAAUGCUCAGCCUGUAUUCCCACCUUCCAGAGACAGAGACAUCUUUAUCAUACAAUUUUUGAGGCCCUGGAUUAGACAGCAAAUCUCAAAAAGAAUCCAAGGAAGAAUUGGAGACAAACAAAGCUGUCAGAGAUGUCUUCUGGAGGAUCAUGGGCCACUUCCUAUCCUUUUAAGGAACUGCACUUCUCAGCUCAUCUGCCAAUGCUAGAAUGGCCCUGGAGAAGCAGCAGCCUGCUACCCAAGGUACAGCUCCACCACUCAGUGCUCUGGAGAACAGGGCAACUGAAAUUAGUUGGUCACCCAGAAGUAACCUCUUCAGAACCCAGUGAAUUACAAUGCCACAGUUCAAGUGGAUGUAUUUCCAUCUGGAAA